rnacentral:rRNA from 1 species
UACGCAGGCGGCUUGGUAAGACAGGCGUGAAAUCCCCGGGCUUAACCUGGGAACUGCGCUUGUGACUGCCGGGCUAGAGUCUGUCAGAGGGGGUGGAAUUCCACGUGUAGCAGUGAAAUGCGUAGAGAUGUGGAGGAACACCGAUGGCGAAGGCAGCCCCCUGGGAUAAGACUGACGCUCAUGUACGAAAGCGUGGGGAGCAAACAGGAUUAGAUACCCUGGUAGUCCACGCCCUAAACGAUGUCGACUAGUUGUCGGGGAUUAACUUCCUCGGUAACGCAGCUAACGCGUGAAGUCGACCGCCUGGGGAGUACGGUCGCAAGAUUAAA